rnacentral:rRNA from 1 species
UACGUAGGGUGCAAGCGUUGUCCGGAAUUAUUGGGCGUAAAGGGCUCGUAGGCGGUCCAUCGCGUCGGGUGUGAAAAGCUGGGGCUUAACCCCAGUCCUGCUUCCGAUACGGGUGGACUAGAGGUAGGUAGGGGAGAACGGAAUUCCUGGUGUAGCGGUGAAAUGCGCAGAUAUCAGGAGGAACACCGGUGGCGAAGGCGGGUCUCUGGGCCUUACCUGACGCUGAGGAGCGAAAGCAUGGGGAGCAAACAGG